rnacentral:rRNA from 1 species
AUUGAACGCUGGCGGCAGGCCUAACACAUGCCAGUCGAGCGGAUGAGAGGAGCUUGCUCCUUGAUUUAGCGGCGGACGGGUGAGUAAUGCCUAGGAAUCUGCCUGGUAGUGGGGGAUAACGUUCCGAAAGGAACGCUAAUACCGCAUACGUCCUACGGGAGAAAGCAGGGGACCUUCGGGCCUUGCGCUAUCAGAUGAGCCUAGGUCGGAUUAGCUAGUUGGUGAGGUAAUGGCUCACCAAGGCGACGAUCCGUAACUGGUCUGAGAGGAUGAUCAGUCACACUGGAACUGAGACACGGUCCAGACUCCUACGGGAGGCAGCAGUGGGGAAUAUUGGACAAUGGGCGAAAGCCUGAUCCAGCCAUGCCGCGUGUGUGAAGAAGGUCUUCGGAUUGUAAAGCACUUUAAGUUGGGAGGAAGGGCAGUAAGCUAAUACCUUGCUGUUUUGACGUUACCGACAGAAUAAGCACCGGCUAACUUCGUG